rnacentral:rRNA from 1 species
GGACCCGCACAAGUAGUGGAGCAUGUGGUUUAAUUCGAAGAUACGCGCAGAACCUUACCAACACUUGACAUGUUCGUCGCGACUUUAAGAGAUUAAAGUUUUCGGUUCGGCCGGACGAAACACAGGUGCUGCAUGGCUGUCGUCAGCUCGUGUCGUGAGAUGUUGGGUUAAGUCCCGCAACGAGCGCAACCCUCACUUUUAGUUGCCAUCAUUUAGUUGGGCACUCUGAAAGAACUGCCAGUGAUAAGCUGGAGGAAGGUGGGGAUGACGUCAAGUCCUCAUGGCCCUUACGUGUUGGGCUACACACGUGCUACAAUGAUAUCUACAACAGGAAGCAAAACGGCGACGUUAAGCAAAUCCUUAAAAGAUAUCUCAGUUCGGAUUGCACUCUGCAACUCGAGUGCAUGAAGCUGGAAUUACUAGUAAUCG